UGUUAAGAUGGCUCCUGUAAGAAGUUGCUCAAAACUCUCCCCAUCUGAGCCAGACUCACUUCUAGGGCUGAGACAAUUAGACGCCUCCACAAUCACUUUUUAAGAAGAAACUGGAAGAGGAGAGUUCUUCCUGUUUCUUCCUUCUUCUGUCUCUUCUUCCUUUCUGGCUGGUGGUGGUGCAAGGAGUGGGAAGAGAGAAUCAACCAUGCGGACUCCAAGCCUAAGAUGAGAGUUUCAAGCUCAGCUCAUCUGAUCCCAGAGAAAGUGAUGAAAAGAAGAAAAUGCAACCCAAAAUACCAGAGUGAAUAUGAAAUAUCAAAUAGAAGAAUAAUAGAUACAGAUAAAUAGAUCUCAUUGUACAACUCAAAGAUCACAUGAAGCUAAGGAACCAUGCUGGUUUCAUCUGGAAAAAAGAAGGCCUUAACACUUUCUACAACUACCUGAAAGGAAGUGGAUGUCCAUCUCUUCUCUCAGAACACAACAUGGACUGCCUUUUUCCUUCUUCUAUACACAAUGACAAAAGGCUCAUUGGUGGCUGACAGUCUCUGCGUCCAUCAAGAAAGAUUUUGGUACAUUGAAACACUUUCUAAAAUUCAGUUGAAAUAACAAUAAUAAUGAAGGCUUUUGAUACUGCUCAGGCAGUGUGGCUUGGA